GAAAUAACCCAAAUUUUUAUUUUCAAAGAUUUUUCAUUUAAAUUUAAUAAACUGACAGCGUGGAAAAUGUAUUUCAAUAUUUAAAUGUGAAUUAAUAAUUUGUACAGUGAUAAACCGAAUUGAAAACCAAUUAAAAAUCGAAAAAAAUCAAACAAAAAUCAAGAUUUGGGCCGAAUCGAAUCGAAAUCGAAUCGAAUCAGCCCAAACCACUUCUAGAAGCCUCUCCCCUCUAUAUCCAGCGCAAACUUCACCCUGCAGUCCACCAUUUUCUGCGCCACCUGCAGUCCACCACCGUUACUGCCACCACCGCGCCACCUCCUCUCCUCUCUUCUUCUUCUUCUUCUUCUUUCUUUCUUUCCUUUUUCUUUCUUUCUUUCCCUUUCUCCCUGCAACUGUGUCUGCGUCACUGCCAGCAGCUCCAGCAACAUCAGUCGAUCACCACCGCGUGCCAGUUGCAGUCGCACCGCCUCCUUCGCGCGCCAGCACGUCUCACAGCUCCUCCGCGCGCCACAGUCAGCCCUCUACC
rnacentral:lncRNA from 1 species